AAUACCAAAUCCCAAAUUCAAAACCUUGAAAAUUAAGAUUUAGAAAUUAUUUGUUCUUUGGCGCUUGUACUUUGGAGCUUCUGUGCAGUGCACAGUAAAGCCUUCGGGCGCUUUAGGAGGGGCCUUUGUCCUAUCAGUUUGUUGGUGAGGUAAUGGCUCACCAAGACGAUGACGGGUAGCUGGAUCGAGAGGUCGACCAGCCAGACUGGGACUGAGACACGGCCCAGACUCCUACGGGAGGCAGCAGUGAGGAAUUUUCCGCAAUGGGCGAAAGCCUGACGGAGCGACACCGCGUGAAGGACGAAGCUUUUCGGAGUGUAAACUUCUUUUAUAUGUGAAGAUUAUGACGGUAACAUAUGAAUAAGCACCGGCUAACUACGUGCCAGCAGCCGCGGUAAUACGUAGGGUGCAAGCGUUAUUCGGAUUUACUGGGCGUAAAGCGUGCGUAGGCGGCUAUAUAAGUUAGAUGUUAAAUUUACGGGCUCAACUCGUAAGCUGCAUCUAAUACUGUAUGGCUCGAGAGUGGAAGAGGCAGACGGAAUUCCUGGUGGAGCGGUAAAAUGCGUAGAUAUCAGGAGGAACACCAAUGGCGAAGGCAGUCUGCUGGGCCAUUUCUGACGCUAAGGCACGAAAGCGUGGGGAGCGAUCGGGAUUAGAUACCCC
rnacentral:rRNA from 1 species